rnacentral:lncRNA from 1 species
UUCUUCUCUCCAUUUUUUCAUUUUAUUUUUCUGAUCUGCGUUUCUUCUUCUUCUACUCUCGAUGAUCAUCAACUCUUCACAAAAACAUAAUUGAUUUCUAUUCUAGUCAUUCCUCCAAUCGGAGCAUCUGAUGUUUUAAAGUAUGCAAUUCUCAGCUCCUUUUGUUUACGAUAAGAGUGAAGAAACCGAAUCGAUCGAUCUCAGUAGUAUUUUGGUUGAACUAAGACAAUUUUUCACUAUCUGCAGGUGGUCGAGCUUUCAAGUGCCUGAAUUCCACCAAGGUUCGAUUAUUUCUCACCAAAACAGCUAAAGAAUCAUCACCAACCCAG